CCUACGGGAGGCAGCAGUGAGGAAUAUUGGUCAAUGGACGAGAGUCUGAACCAGCCAAGUAGCGUGAAGGAUGACUGCCCUAUGGGUUGUAAACUUCUUUUAUAUGGGAAUAAAAUGUUCCACGUGUGGGAUUUUGUAUGUACCAUAUGAAUAAGGCUCGGCUAACUCCGUGCCAGCAGCCGCGGUAAUACGGAGGAUCCGAGCGUUAUCCGGAUUUAUUGGGUUUAAAGGGAGCGUAUGUGGAUUGUUAAGUCAGGUGUGAAAGUUUGCGGCUCAACCGUAAAAUUGCAGUUGAAACUGGCAGUCUUGAGUACAGGAGAGGUGGGCGGAAUUCGUGGUGUAGCGGUGAAAUGCUUAGAUAUCACGAAGAACUCCGAUUGCGAAGGCAGCUCACUGGACUGCAACUGACACUGAGGCUCGAAAGUGUGGGGAUCAAACAGGAUUAGAUACCCCUGUAGUC
rnacentral:rRNA from 1 species